GACGAACGCGGGGGCGUGCUUAACACAUGCAAGUCGAACGGUGAAGGGAUCAGCUUGCUGUUUCUGGAUGAGUGGCGAACGGGUGAGUAACACGUGAGUAACCUGCCCCCUUUUCUGGAUAACCGCAUGAAAGUGUGGCUAAUACGGGAUAUUCUGCGCCUGCUGCAUGGUGGGUGUGGGAAAGAUAUUGUUUCGGUGGGGGAUGGGCUCGCGGCCUAUCAGCUUGUUGGUGGGGUGAUGGCCUACCAAGGCGGUGACGGGUAGCCGGCCUGAGAGGGUGGACGGUCACACUGGGACUGAGACACGGCCCAGACUCCUACGGGAGGCAGCAGUGGGGAAUAUUGCACAAUGGGCGCAAGCCUGAUGCAGCGACGCCGCGUGAGGGAUGGAGGCCUUCGGGUUGUGAACCUCUUUCGCCAGUGAAGCAGGCCUGUCCCUUCUGUGGGUGGGUUGACG
rnacentral:rRNA from 1 species